UACGUAGGUGACAAGCGUUGUCCGGAUUUACUGGGCGUAAAGAGCGCGCAGGCGGUCGUUCAAGUCGAGUGUGAAAGCCCCCGGCUCAACCGGGGAAGUGCCUUGGAUACUGCGGUGCUCGAGGGAGGUAGGGGUCGAGGGAACUUCUGGUGGAGCGGUGAAAUGCGUUGAUAUCAGAAGGAACGCCGGUGGCGAAAGCGCUCGACUGGACCUCUGCUGACGCUGAGGCGCGAAAGCUAGGGGGAGCAAACGGG
rnacentral:rRNA from 1 species